AGUAAUGACGUGAUUGUGAACACCCAGAGCACGAUACAUCCAUGCUGACACAGAAAAUAAGUAAUGACUUGGUUGUGAACACCCAGAGCAAGAUAUAUCCAUGCUGUUACAGAAAGGCAGUAAUGACUAUGCUGUGAACACCCAGAGCACAAUACAUCCAUGCUGACACAGAAAGGCAGUAAUGACUUGGUUGGGAACACCCAGAGCACAAUACAUCCAUGCUGACACAGAAAGGCAGUAAUGACUUGGCUGUGAACACAGAACACGAUACACCCAUGCUGACACAGAAAGGCAGUAAUGACUUGGCUGUGAACACAGAGCACAAUACAUCCAUGCUGAAACAGAAAGGCAGUCAUGACUAUGCUGUGAACACCCAGAGCACGAUAUAUCCAUGCUGACACAAAAAGGCAGUAAUGACUAUGCUGUGAACACCCAGAGCAAGAUAUAUCCAUGCUGACACAGAAAGGCAGUAAUGACUAUGCAGUGAACACCCAGAGCAAGAUAUAUCCAUGCUGACACAGAAAGGCAGUAAUGACUAUGCUGUGAACACCCAAAACACAAUACAUCCAUGCUGACACAGAAAGGCAGUAAUGACUUGGUUGUGAACACCAGGAGCAAGAUAUAUCCAUGCUGACACAGAAAGGCAGUAAUGACUUGGCUGUAAACACAGAACACAAUACACCCAUGCUGACACAGAAAGGCAGUAAUGACUUGGCUGUGAACACAGAACACAUUACACCCAUGCUGACACAGAAAGGCAGUAAUGACUUGGCUGUGAACACAGAGCUUAAUACAUCCAUGCUGACACAGAAAGGCAGUAAUGACUUGGCUGUAAACACAGAGCACAAUACAUCCAUGCUGACACAGAAAGGUAGUUAUGACUUGGCUGUAAACACAGAGCACAAUACAUUCAUGCUGACACAGAAAGGCAAUAAUGACUUGGCUGUAAACACAGAGCACAAUACAUCCAUGCUGACACAGAAAGGCAGUUAUGACUUGGUUGUGAACACAGAGCACAAUACAUCCUUGUUGACACAGAAAGGCAGUAGUGACUUUGCUGUGAACUCAGAGCACGAUACAUCCAUGCUGACACAGAAAGGCAGUAAAGACUUGGUUGUAAACACCCAGAGCACAAUACAUCCAUGCUGACACAGACAGGCAGUAAAGACUUUGUUGUAAACACUAAGAGAUCCAUACAUCCAUGGGGUGUGCCACAGCCGCAAAUUACGCCCACUAUUGUGAACAAGGUUCUUAAAGUGAACACGUCUGGUUUUGUUAUGAGCACAUAGCACUCCAAGCCCAAAAGGCCUCGCAUUAAAUUGAUGCAAGAGAAGGCUUUGGAAAAUAACAGCAGUUUUGUUGUGUGGUCCAGUACGCCCUUCGACUCGCAACCUGAAGAAAGCAGAACUCAAACUCGUCUCUUAGCAAUAUCAGCAAGGCUAGCAUGUCAUCUCAGCUUCUUGGACUUCAGUGAACUUUACUAGCAAACAUGACUAACGUCAUUGAAGUGAAAGUCGAUGACAACCCCCUUCUUGCACAAAUACUACAAUUGCUUAAGAAAUUCAGCACGAAGACGUCUUGCGUCAGACUACCAAGCCUCCUAUCAAUAUCUUCUCCCAUGUUGGCUACAUCAACACUUCCAACAGCAGAGCCUUGGUGAGUUCGACUUCCGUCUCGGCAUCGAUGUCGCUUAGCAACAAUUGGAUGAUUGCGUCGACAAAUUAGGCCGGACAAGUUGCUCGAACUGAAACGAUCUGAUUCAACAGGUAGAGCAGGCGUUGCCUGACACGUCCGUUAAUGUGACUGACCACGAUAUGUUGUUCUCGAAAAAUGUGAACCUUAGGCCUGGAGAGCAGUAUGCGAUUGACGCCAUUCAACAACAGUUGUUGUCGGCAAUUCUUGGGUUUGGGGUGGCGACUUCGGCGUCGGGACUCACACCAUCUCUGUCUAUGGCCCAGUGGCAGCAGCAGCAACAACAAGAACAAUAACCUGUUCCUACAGGAACCCAUGCAAUCAUAGAUCGGUACCUAGCUGAACAACAGGCUGUCUGGUCAGCUGGGCCCAGACGCCCAGUGACACUUCCUGGCCCAGGACCUUGGGGCAAAUGCUCAACUAGUCCUACCUGCAGGGUGGAGCCACUCUGAACCUGGGGCUCCAUACUUUCUUGGCCAGCGGCCAAGAUUACCUUGUCAAUGAGGGACACAUUCCUGGGAUGCCCUAAGGUCUUUCUAUCUGUUCACAGAGGUCUUAUACUCAUAAGUUCAAGCCCAGUGAGCGAUGUUCACAUUAUCAAACUCUGCAUCUCAAUAGAAACCCGGAUAGCAAGGCGUUGAGUUUGUUCUUGAAGCAUUUGCACCAGAAGCAGUCAUCAUCUUGAUAUUCUGGAAUCUCCAUGGUGAAGGACGACCUCAGUCUGUGAACAAAAUGCAGAGCUAACCUCAGAUGCCUUUUGACGAAAUCAAACCAUCCGAUCAGAAACACAGACUGUUGCAGCAGUUGUUACCAUAUUGACCGCAGUCAAACCUAAGAAGCUCAGAGAUAAAUACUGAUUUAGUUCUGCUAGUCUCUGCAUACCGCCUGGUUUGGUCAGCACUUACUCUGACUCUUUGAAUAUUAUGACGGAUGGAAAUGAAUGACCUUGUUCAGAUUGAAAUGGCAGAAUGACACAUCACAACAAUUCAAGUGGAAAGCCAGAAAGUCAUGUCAACAGCCACAUUUUGUAUGUCACCAGCCAAGUUGUAUUCAAAGACAAACAAUAGUUUAUUCUCUAUUGUGUAUGUGACCAGCCAAGUUGUAUUCAACGAAAAACAAUAGUUUACGUUUUAUUUUUUAUGUGACCUACCAAGUUGUUUGUAUAGGUCCCUGGUUUAGCAAAGCAUUUAAAGUAUUUUUAAAAGCACACAUAUUGCAUGUCAAUUCAAUGUCUUUGCCUGUAUUAUGAAACUUUCACUACAGAUGUUGAUCCUCAUGAUGGUAAAUAAAUGGGAAAUACAAUGUUAUCAAAGAUUUGUUAAGAUUGCCAAAGCUGUUUAAAUGAUGCUGGUAACUUGAACAAGAUUGAAAAAAACAUUGGAGUGUUUUCAUGUUAUAAGACAUGUUUCAGUUGUCUGUUUUUAACCCGUUAAUAUAGAUUAGCUAAUGAAAAGUAUUUGUUCAGAAAGGUGUAAAAUGUUUACGCUUCAGAUUUUUGUCAAUCAACCUUAUGAAAACAAUACUAGUCAAUUGGCUCAUUCGGGUCGGUAUUCUAUCAUGAAUCUUUUUUAGUAGCAUACUAUGUAUUUCAUGGGAAUAUAAAUAAAUUCUGGGCAAAAUUAUUUAAUCUACCUGAAAUAAUCGAUUCUGUAUUUACUACUAGUACUUUGUUGAUUUCAAUGGAUAGUGUUUGUUAAAUGAGUAGAGUAUGACUCUUGUUGAAAAGCUUUAAAUGAAACUGUGAAUUAAAAAAUAAAUAUUAAAUUUGUUUUACAGUUUUAUGAAAAAUGGCAAAAUAUUGUUAAGUUGUGUUGUUUUAUCAUAUACUAACAUGGUCAUAAGUGUUAAAAUUUGUUUUCGGACAUAAUAGUUUAUUAUGCUUUAUAUUUGUAUAUGUACAUAACGACGACAAGAUUGUAUCCUCUUUAAUCAGUGAGCAACUUAAUCAAGAUAUCUUGAUCACUGUAUCAAGUGUAUAUUUUGCCAUUUAUACAUAGAGCAACUGUAAAACAAUUGUAUUUUAAAUGUAAUGUAUCCAUGUAUUGUUGCCAUUUUUAUUAGAUAAACUCACUGUUAACAUUAAUUUGUACAAACUAUUGUUAUAAAAAACAUUUCUUGUUUCAAUGCUAAAAUAUGUAUUAAACUGUUAAAAUAAUGCACAGUAACAACUUCUGAAGAGAAAAAUAUACUUAAGGUAAUAGAAACACAUUGUUAUAUGAAAUGCUUUUUAUUAAGAACACCUACUUAAAAUUUGUUUAAUUUUGUUUAACAUUAUCUGAAGAAAAAAUAGUACCUUGUAAUUUGAAAUCAGUCAAUGAAAAAAAAGGGAGUGUUGCCAUAUGCUAACAAUAGUCAAGAAGUGCAAAUGCCUUUAUGGUUAAUACAACAGAGCAAUACAAUUUGCUUAAACUAGAGCACCACAUAAAGGGUGCCAUGCUCGGCUACGGGUGCAGUUUUGAAUAAAUGAAAGCUUGACAUAAUUUAUUUGAGAGGUCACAGUGACUUGACCAUUGACCUAGUGACCCCAAAAUGGGUGUGGUGUGUAGAACUCAUCAAUGUGCAUCUACAUAUGAAGUUUGAAAGUUGUAGUUGGAAGCACUUUGAUUUUAGAGCCAAUGUUAAGGUUUAAGCACGACACGGACGGCGGACGACACAACGAACUGGCUAUGACAUUACCUCGGGUUUUCUCCGAAAAUAUCCAGCUAAAAAUAAAAACAAAGAUGUCUGUUUUGCAAAUUUUUUUAACACUUAUGAAUGUGCUUAUAUUAAACGUGAACAGUAUUGACAUAUUGCUUAUGAUAAAGUUUGACAUUUUAUUAGUUUUGUAACAGCGUGUUUGACCUUUCAAAUUGACCCUCCCACAAUCCCUUAUUCGCUUUCAGUGGGGCCAGUUUCUGUACAUCUUCCACUACAAGUUCAGCAAAUGUUUUAUGACCAGAUUUCCUCAUAUUUGUGAAUGUUUAUAUUUAACUUUUAUUGAAUGCAUGAAACAUGUUUGUUCUGUUUUUGAAAAGCUGAAAAUAGCUUGAUGUUUGUAAAUUGUGAGACAUGUUAGAUCAAAUUGAUAUAUAGAAAAAAACACAUUUUGCAUUAACUUGUAUUGGUAGCUAAA